rnacentral:rRNA from 1 species
UAGCUAGUUGGUGAGGUAAAGGCUUACCAAGGCGACGAUCUGUAGCGGGUCUGAGAGGAUGAUCCGCCACACUGGAACUGAGACACGGUCCAGACUCCUACGGGAGGCAGCAGUGGGGAAUUUUGGACAAUGGGGGCAACCCUGAUCCAGCCAUGCCGCGUGAGUGAAGAAGGCCUUCGGGUUGUAAAGCUCUUUCGGCCGGGAAGAAAUCGCAUGGGCCAAUACCCUGUGUGGAUGACGGUACCGGAAUAAGAAGCACCGGCUAACUACGUGCCAGCAGCCGCGGUAAUACGUAGGGUGCGAGCGUUAAUCGGAAUUACUGGGCGUAAAGCGUGCGCAGGCGGUUUUGUAAGACAGGCGUGAAAUCCCCGGGCUUAACCUGGGAACUGCGUUUGUGACUGCAAGGCUAGAGUACGGCAGAGGGGGGUGGAAUUCCACGUGUAGCAGUGAAAUGCGUAGAGAUGUGGAGGAACACCAAUGGCGAAGGCAGCCCCCUGGGUCGAUACUGACGCUCAUGCACGAAAGCGUGGGUAGCAAACAGGAUUAGAUACCCUGGUAGUCCACGCCCUAAACUAUGUCAACUAGGUGUUGGGUGGGUAAAACCAUUUAGUACCGUAGCUAACGCGUGAAGUUGACCGCCUGGGGAGUACGGCCGCAAGGUUAAAACUCAAAGGAAUUGACGGGGACCCGCACAAGCGGUGGAUGAUGUGGAUUAAUUCGAUGCAACGCGAAAAACCUUACCUACCCUUGACAUGCCAGGAACUUGCCAGAGAUGGCUUGGUGCCCGAAAGGGAGCCUGGACACAGGUGCUGCAUGGCUGUCGUCAGCUCGUGUCGUGAGAUGUUGGGCUAAGUCCCGCAACGAGCGCAACCCUUGUCGUUAAUUGCCAUCAUUUGGUUGGGCACUUUAACGAGACUGCCGGUGACAAACCGGAGGAAGGUGGGGAUGACGUCAAGUCCUCAUGGCCCUUAUGGGUAGGGCUUCACACGUCAUACAAUGGUCGGUACAAAGGGUUGCCAAGCCGCGAGGCGGAGCCAAUCCCAGAAAGCCGAUCGUAGUCCGGAUUGCAGGCUGCAACUCGCCUGCAUGAAGUCGGAAUCGCUAGUAAUCGUGGAUCAGCAUGUCACGGUGAAUACGUUCCCGGGUCUUGUACACACCGCCCGUCACACCAUGGGAGCGGGUUCCGCCAGAAAUAGGUAGCCUAACCGCAAGGGGGGCGCUUACCACGGCGGGGUUCGUGACUGGGGUGAAGUCGUAACAAGGUAGCCGUAGGGGAACCUGCGGCUG